AUUGAACGCUGGCGGCAGGCCUAACACAUGCAAGUCGUACGAGUGGCGGACGGGUGAGUAAUGUCUGGGAAACUGCCUGAUGGAGGGGGAUAACUACUGGAAACGGUAGCUAAUACCGCAUACCCUCUGAUGUACCCAGAUGGGAUUAGCUAGUAUGUGGGGUAAUGGCUCACCUAGGCGACGAUCCCUAGCUGGUCUGAGAGGAUGACCAGCCACACUGGAACUGAGACACGGGCCAGACGCCUACGGGAGGCAGCAGUGGGGAAUAUUGCACAAUGGGCGCAAGCCUGAUGCAGCUAUGCCGCGUGUAUGAAGAAUGCCUUCGGGUUGUAAAGUACUUUCAGCGGGGAGGCGUUACCCGCAGAAGAAGCACCGGCUAAAUCCGUGCCAGCCGCCGCGGUCAUUC
rnacentral:rRNA from 1 species